GAUAAAACAAUUCAUCUUCAAGUAACACAUACUUUGUGGCUUGGAAGCAUAUCCGCCGAUCCACUUUCCUGGAUGGAUCCAUUAAAUAAUCGGUAAUCUCUUUCCUCCAGUCGUCGACCGCCAGCUCUAGAGCCAAAGCGCCAUGAAUCGGCUGGUAACCAGAAGCGUGCUGGGCAAGUCUAUUGGCUUCCUCGUUGUAAUCCCUAGGGAUAUGUUCAAUAGUUACCGUCUUGAAUUCUUUGAGCAACUGGAGGCAUUCCUCAUAAUAAAUCCAUAGAAUAUCAUCCUUGCACUCACACUUUCCAGUCAACUGAACUACGAUAAGCAUGGAAUCUCCAAAUAUUUCCACCGCAUCAGCCUUGACCUCCCUCAACAAUUGGAUGCCCUUUAAGAC
rnacentral:lncRNA from 1 species